rnacentral:rRNA from 2 species
UACGGAGGGUGCAAGCGUUAUCCGGAUUUACUGGGUUUAAAGGGUGCGUAGGCGGGCUUUUAAGUCAGUGGUGAAAACUCCGAGCUUAACUCGGAAACUGCCAUUGAUACUAUUAGUCUUGAAUUUAGUUGAGGUUGGCGGAAUGUGUCGUGUAGCGGUGAAAUGCUUAGAUAUGACACAGAACACCGAUUGCGAAGGCAGCUGGCUAAACUAAAAUUGACGCUGAGGCACGAAAGUGUGGGGAUCAAACAGG